rnacentral:rRNA from 1 species
UACGGAGGAGGCAAGCGUUAUCCGGAAUUAUUGGGCGGAAAGCGUCCGCAGGUGGCGAUUCAAGUCUGCCGUCAAAGACUGGGGCUUAACCCUGGAAAGGCCGUGGAAACUGAAUAGCUAGAGUGCAGUAGGGGUAGAGGGAAUUCCCGGUGUAGCGGUGAAAUGCGUAGAGCUCGGGAAGAACAUCGGUGGCGAAAGCGCUCUGCUGGACUGCAACUGACACUCAGGGACGAAAGCUAGGGGAGCGAAUGGG